rnacentral:rRNA from 1 species
UACGAAGGGGGCUAGCGUUGUUCGGAUUUAUUGGGCGUAAAGAGCUUGUAGGCGGUCUGUUGCGUCCGCUGUGAAAACUCGGGGCUUAACCCCGAGCCUGCAGUGGAUACGGGCAGACUAGAGGUAGGUAGGGGAGAAUGGAAUUCCUGGUGUAGCGGUGAAAUGCGCAGAUAUCAGGAGGAACACCUAUUGCGAAGGCAGCUCGCUGGGACGUAACUGACGCUGAGACGCGAAAGCGUGGGGAGCAAACAGG